AGAGUUUGAUCCUGGCUCAGAAUCAACGCUGGCGGCGCGCUUAACACAUGCAAGUCGAACGAGAAAGCGGGGGCAACCUCGUGAGUAAAGUGGCGUACGGGUGAGUAACACGUGGGUAAUCUACCUCUUAGUGGGGAAUAACGCUGGGAAACCGGCGCUAAUACCGCAUAAUCCCGGGAGGGGAAAGCAGCAAUGCGCUGAGAGAGGAGCCCGCGGCCGAUUAGCUAGUUGGCAGGGUAAAAGCCUACCAAGGCAAAGAUCGGUAGCCGGCCUGAGAGGGCACACGGCCACACUGGCACUGAAACACGGGCCAGACUCCUACGGGAGGCAGCAGUGGGGAAUCUUGCACAAUGGGGGAAACCCUGAUGCAGCGACGCCGCGUGAGCGAUGAAGCCCUUCGGGGUGUAAAGCUCUUUCGGCAGGGACGAAACAUGACGGUACCUGCAGAAGCAGCUGCGGCUAACUACGUGCCAGCAGCCGCGGUAAUACGUAGGCAGCGAGCGUUGUUCGGAGUUACUGGGCGUAAAGGGUGCGUAGGCGGUCCCUUAAGUUUGGUGUGAAAUCUCCCGGCUCAACUGGGAGGGUGCGCCGGAUACUGAGGGGCUAGAGUGCGGGAGAGGAAAGUGGAAUUCCUGGUGUAGCGGUGAAAUGCGUAGAUAUCAGGAGGAACACCGGUGGUGUAAACGGCUUUCUGGACCGUAACUGACGCUGAGGCACGAAAGCGUGGGGAGCAAACAGGAUUAGAUACCCUGGUAGUCCACGCCCUAAACGAUGCACGUUUGGUGUGGGUGAUUCAGUUCAUCCGUGCCGGAGCUAACGCGUUAAACGUGCCGCCUGGGGAGUACAGUCGCAAGGCUGAAACUCAAAGGAAUUGACGG
rnacentral:rRNA from 1 species